rnacentral:rRNA from 1 species
CAGGCCUAACACAUGCAAGUCGAACGAUGCUUUCGGGCAUAGUGGCGCACGGGUGCGUAACGCGUGGGAAUCUGCCCUUGGGUUCGGAAUAACCGUUAGAAAUGACGGCUAAUACCGGAUGAUGACGUAAGUCCAAAGAUUUAUCGCCCGAGGAUGAGCCCGCGUAGGAUUAGCUAGUUGGUGGGGUAAAGGCCUACCAAGGCGACGAUCCUUAGCUGGUCUGAGAGGAUGAUCAGCCACACUGGGACUGAGACACGGCCCAGACUCCUACGGGAGGCAGCAGUGGGGAAUAUUGGACAAUGGGCGCAAGCCUGAUCCAGCAAUGCCGCGUGAGUGAUGAAGGCCUUAGGGUUGUAAAGCUCUUUUACCCGGGAUGAUAAUGACAGUAUCGGGAGAAUAAGCUCCGGCUAACUCCGUGCCAGCAGCCGCGGUAAU